GUGAGGAAUAUUGGUCAAUGGGCGCAAGCCUGAACCAGCCAUCCCGCGUGCAGGAAGACGGCCCUAUGGGUUGUAAACUGCUUUUCCGGGGGGAGAAUUUUUCCGUCGUGACGGGAAUUGACGGUACCCCGGGAAUAAGCAUCGGCUAACUCCGUGCCAGCAGCCGCGGUAAUACGGAGGAUGCGAGCGUUAUCCGGAUUUAUUGGGUUUAAAGGGUGCGUAGGCGGAAUGAUAAGUCAGUGGUGAAAACCUGCAGCUUAACUGUAGACUUGCCGUUGAUACUGUCAGUCUUGAGUGUGGUCAAGGUAGGCGGAAUGUGUAAUGUAGCGGUGAAAUGCUUAGAUAUUACACAGAACACCGAUUGCGAAGGCAGCUUACUGGGCCAUUACUGACGCUGAUGCACGAAAGCGUGGGGAUCGAACAGGAUUAGAUACCCGAGUAGUCC
rnacentral:rRNA from 1 species